GAUGAACGCUGGCGGCGUGCCUAAUACAUGCAAGUCGAGCGAACGGACGAGAAGCUUGCUUCUCUGAUGUUAGCGGCGGACGGGUGAGUAACACGUGGAUAACCUACCUAUAAGACUGGGAUAACUUCGGGAAACCGGAGCUAAUACCGGAUGAUAUUUUGAACCGCAUGGUUCAAAAGUGAAAGACGGUCUUGCUGUCACUUAUAGAUGGAUCCGCGCUGCAUUAGCUAGUUGGUAAGGUAAUGGCUUACCAAGGCAACGAUGCAUAGCCGACCUGAGAGGGUGAUCGGCCACACUGGAACUAAGACACGGUCCAGACUCCUACGGGAGGCAGCAGUAGGGAAUCUUCCGCAAUGGGCGAAAGCCUGACGGAGCAACGCCGCGUGAGUGAUGAAGGUCUUCGGAUCGUAAAACUCUGUUAUUAGGGAAGAACAUAUGUGUAAGUAACUGUGCACAUCUUGACGGUACCUAAUCAGAAAGCCACGGCUAACUACGUG
rnacentral:rRNA from 1 species